rnacentral:rRNA from 1 species
CAGUCGCCGCGGUAAUACGAAGGGGGCUAGCGUUGCUCGGAAUGACUGGGCGUAAAGGGCGCGUAGGCGGUGGCCAAAGUCAGGCGUGAAAUUCCUGGGCUCAACCUGGGGGCUGCGCUUGAUACUUGGUUGCUUGAGUGGGGAAGAGGGUCGUGGAAUUCCCAGUGUAGAGGUGAAAUUCGUAGAUAUUGGGAAGAACACCGGUGGCGAAGGCGGCAACCUGGUCCUUUACUGACGCUGAGGCGCGAAAGCGUGGGGAGCAAACAGGAUUAGAUACCCCGGUAGUCCCUGUCUCUUAUAA